AGUCGUAACAAGGUUUCCGUAGGUGAACCUGCGGAAGGAUCAUUAUCGAGUUUUGACUGGGUUGUAGCUGGCCUUCCGAGGCAUGUGCACACCCUGCUCAUCCACUCUACACCUGUGCACUUACUGUGGGUUCCAGACGUUGUGAAGCGGGCUCUUUACGGAGCUUGUAAAGCGGCGUGCCUGUGCCUGCGUUUAUCACAAACUCUAUAAAGUAUUAGAAUGUGUAUUGCGAUGUAACGCAUCUAUAUACAACUUUCAGCAACGGAUCUCUUGGCUCUCGCAUCGAUGAAGAACGCAGCGAAAUGCGAUAAGUAAUGUGAAUUGCAGAAUUCAGUGAAUCAUCGAAUCUUUGAACGCACCUUGCGCUCCUUGGUAUUCCGAGGAGCAUGCCUGUUUGAGUGUCAUGAAAUCUUCAACUUACAGACCUUUGCGGGUUUGUAGGCUUGGACUUUGGAGGCUUGUCGGCCGUGUUUUGGUCGGCUCCUCUUAAAUGUAUUAGCUUGAUUCCUUGCGGAUCGGCUCUCGGUGUGAUAAUGUCUACGCCGCGACCGUGAAGCAUUUUGGCGAGCUUCUAACCGUCUCGUUUGUGAGACAGCUUUAUGACCUCUGACCUCAAAUCAGGUAGGACUACCCGCUGAACUUAAGCAUAUCAAUAAGCGGAGGAA
rnacentral:misc_RNA from 1 species